AAAAUUUAAUGGGUAACAAUCACGGCCAUUGCAAUCUACUUUGUAUUGUUGAUUUUCUGAUACUAUUUACAACUGACUCCUGGUAAUGUGCCACACUGAGAAACACGCAACUCGUUCCCAUAAAACCCAUCUAUGAUGAUGAUGACGACGUCGACGAAGCUCUACGGCAGGCGUACUCUCAAUCUGGGGUCAUUUUGAUGGCGCAUCCUCAGGACAGACUGUAAACUUCAUCAAUAUGUAGAGGAGAAACUCACGUGGACGCAAGCAUCGGCUUCGACGCAACACAGCCACAGGGUGCAUCGGGCCCGACAGGCUGCGGGGUGAUGGGCCGGGCGGAUACUGACACUGGAACCACGGCUGUGACCAUCGCCACCUCACCCUCCUUCCCACCCCUCCCGUUGAAGGUGCUGUUGCCGUCAUUGUUCGCGCCUCUUGUCACCGCGGAGACGUGUUGCUCAUUCAGAGGAGCUAAGUCCGUGGGGAAAGGGGAUGGGAGUUGAAGGAGGGAGGAACGGGGUAGGGGGAGAGAACCCGUCAACGGCCGAGCAUGAAAAACGCAGCCUGGCAGCCAACGGUCGGUGACUUCGCUGCUCAACAAACGAGACUUAUGGUUUUAUUUUGUUUUUUGUCUUUAUGUUGUUGUUUGUUGUAGGGGAGUUUAUUUAUUUUUAUUUGUGUUUGUCUGUUUUAAAACAUGAUUGUCGCGAAGUCACAUUUGUUUAAGAUAAGGCAUAACCCCGGAGUAGAAAGGACGGGCUGAUUAGUCUCAAAAAUUGUGGCACCUGCGGCUCCAUUAUCAUCCGCUAUUCGUUAAGUUUCGCUGGAUGCGGAGACGACUCUUUUCCCAUUUGACGGGGGAAAGGGUGGAUGGGGUGAGAACUCGGGUGUUCUCGGUGUGAAUUUUACGUCCGCUGAUCUAUUUUCGAUUUGUUAGACAUGUUUCUGAUACCUGACAAGAAAAAUGUAUGGGGGGGGGGGGGUAAAAAACAACGAAAUCAAACAAAAGCUUAUCUUUUUACAAAAACAAACAAACAAAAGACUUACUCAAGAUUCAUCUCUUCUUUUUAAAUAGCAUAACUACAAAAGGUUGUCUCUGUGUACUUUUUUAAAAAAAUAUCGUUGUCAGUAGAUAUCUAUCUUAAUCCCCAGCGACAAAAAAUGACAUGAAAAACAAUAAAUGAUCCUGGGCAAGACAUGCUCGUUGCCUGGUGUCAACAACAACGCCAUCAUCUCGUUAUCAUCUCGACGUGAAAGCUCGCGUCUUGAAAGCACUCGUCACGUAAACAACACCCAGGAUCUUUUGUGUCGCUGAUGAGUUUCAUCGCAUUCUACCUCUCCCUCCCAUUCCCAUCCCCAUCACCACCACCGGCAUGCAUCAAGCUGCAAGGAUUAACUAAAUGUUGUUCUGAGGUAUGGCAAUAAACUUCAACUUUUCGGAGAGGACAGCAGGUGAUCCAUAUGGAUGGGAAAAGCGGAUGCAAUAAAGUCAGUAAGAACCUGUGUAGAACCUUCACCACUAUUUGUGUUAUUUGAUAAGCAGUGUUUUCCUAUUUAAUGAGCGAUAACGUUUUUUGAACAAUUAUAAUUGUUGUUGUUGUUGUUGUUGUUGUUGUUGUUGUUGUUGUUGUUGCACUGCAGAUGAUUUAGCAUCAGAGUUAAUUCGUUCAUAUUUACAACCAACACACUUUUAUCUACUUUUGUGCUUAUUGACCUUGUUAAGAAAUGGGUCCUGAUCGGUUCUUGUUGAUUUUUAUUAUUAGCUUAGUAUCGUGCAACUAACUGGUUUGUUUGCAGAAGCUCCAGCACAGAAUCGCUUUGAUCGGCUCAUUUUUCUCAGCCCAUCUUGUCUCGAAAUAAAAGUAAUUUACAAAACACCUUUAAUUUGUCCUUCAUAUAUUCCCCCAACAUUCUUUUUCCUUUAAAAGGAGCACUUGAAGUGACUGCUGUUCUUGUUUCUUAUCCAAGAUCUUUACUUUUCAACUUACUUCUUAGGUAGAGCUGAAAUACCAUCGUCUGCUGUUUACUAAUCGUGUUUAGUUAUAAAACAAGGAAUUAACGUGCGAAGUAGACCACUCUGUUCUGUUUUUGUCCCAGAUUUCGGUUGACAUAACAUGCAUAGGCGUUUGCCAGUUACUGCUCAUAAACCAAUGACCAAGAGGUUAAGAGACCUAAAAAUAUGAGCCAGGCAAAACGCACUGAACAAUACUGAGCUCUUGCUUUUUAAAAUAAUUGACCCAGAAGUUGCUUAAUACUGUAUUGGUAAAAUACAAACAAAAACCAAUAGAAAUUCUAUACAAUUUCUUAACAAAGUCAAAAUUGGACGAAAGUGGAUCGGGAAGAAAAAAAACAAACCAACCCAUUUUCCUGCAAACAUUUGUUCAAGUAAUUGAGGGUUGUUUCCCCCAUUGCACGAUACUAACAUAAAAUCUGAGUUUCUGGCUUGGGUUUCGUUCUUUACAAGAUACUAACUUUAAAAUCAGAAAGUACAACCUUCUUCCGUUCGGGAGAUAUAAGCCUUCAGGUGCCAUGGUCAUCGAGUAGUGGUAUCGUUACCUCAGGGUUAGCUGUGACCGAGAGUCCGUCCUGUAAUUGGAAACAUUCAAAAAAAAAAAAAAAAAAAAAAAAAAGGCGGAACAUCUAAAGGUCUCCGUCUUGCCUACGAGAUUAUGGCUAGAGAGAGAGCUAGCCAGGGCUGCAGGUUAGAAAUCACAUUCAUCUACUCUCUGUAGGUCCUCUCAGGAAGUGCGACUAUAUGAGUGUUGGUAAUAAUUAAUUGCAGUAAAUAUUGAAUAAAUUCGAGUUUCGAAUAAAGUUUUAACCAACAGUAUUUUGUUUGCUUGUUUGUUUGUUUGCUUGUUUGUUUGUUUGCUUGCUUUUGCUCCAAUGGCGGGACUGAUCUUUAGUAAAGGCUCUCAAAAAUCUCAGUGAAAACGUCUCUUCCGUUCUCGAAAUACAAAUCAACGAACCAUGCUUCACUCACUUAAAUUUCUGCUCGCUGGCAGAACAUUAAAAGCAAGUAGUGACAGUCAUUAUACCUCUUUGUCAUCAGAUCGAGAGCCACAGUUUGUCAUUUAAAAAUAUUUUAAAAUCAAAUUUUCGAAGUAUACUGCCUACAUUUUCGAAGGC